AUAGUGUGUUUUCACGCUAGGGGUUGUGACUAUUUGACUUCUAUAUCUAUCUCCCCUUCUCAAACUUCUCUCUUUAUUUCCGUCAACACGUUGCUGCGGCCACCACCGAUUACUACCACGAACGGCCAUGUGUCGUCCUUAUCUCUUAUACUCCUCAUCGCUUGCGAGUCAGAACCUCACCUUCAUAGAUCUUAA